rnacentral:rRNA from 1 species
GACGAACGCUGGCGGCGUGCUUAACACAUGCAAGUCGAACGGAAAGGCCCUGCUUUUGUUGGGUUCUCGAUUGGCGAACGGGUGAGUAACACGUGAGUAACCUGCCCUUGACUUUGGGAUAACUUCAGGAAACUGGGUCUAAUACCGGAUAUGAGCUCCUGCUGCAUGGUGGUGGUUGGAAAGUUUCGGCGUUUGGGGAUGGACUCGCGGCUUAUCAGCUUGUUGGUGGGGUAGUGGCUUACCAAGGCUUUGACGGGUAGCCGGCCUGAGAGGGUGACCGGCCACAUUGGGACUGAGAUACGGACCAGACUCCUACGGGAGGCAGCAGUGGGGAAUAUUGCACAAUGGGCGGAAGCCUGAUGCAGCAACGCCGCGUGCGGGAUGACGGCCUUCGGGUUGUAAACAGCUUUCGCAUGUGACGAAGAGUGAGUGACGGUAAUGGGUAAAGAAGCACCGGCUAACUACGUG